ACGCAGUGAGACUGACGCGGUAAACGAGAAUCACGGGGGGAAGGCCAUGAUGGCAAAGACGCGACGAAAGGCGAGCGGAAAACCCUCCAAGGUUUCUGCCAUUCUCGCGUAAUUACACCGGAACUUUCCGGACGGGGCGGGGUCUAAUCAAUAAGGACCAAAGGACAAAACAAUGAAACCAACCAAACUCUUCUUGAUCGCCAUCACCCUCGGCGCGAUGGCCGCGUCGUCCGCCAUAGCCCGACCCGCCAGCGCCCGAACCCAUUCUCCGACCCGGAGUUUUUCAGUCGCGAGGCCCAGCGCCACGCAUUGGGC
rnacentral:misc_RNA from 1 species